rnacentral:lncRNA from 1 species
UGAAAGACUCCCAUGUUAAAAUAACAUGAUUUUUAGAGAGACAGUUUUUGCAGGUCCCAUUGUGACAUUUGAAUGGACGAGACAGCCUUGUCAGGAUGCCUAGAAUGCUCACACAGUAAGGAAAAUGUUACUGGAAAAAGCAGAAAUACUGCCGGAGAGAUAAGCCAUUGGAAUAUUUGCCAGAUGGACAAACUUGGAAUCAAGGAAUUCAAGUAUGACUUUUAUAGGAGAGAAGAUGUUUGGCAGCUGUAGUGCUUAAAAUGAUGGGCAUUGAACAGAGACAGCACCUAGUGUUCUCACAAGUGGCUAAAAGCCGUGCUAUUUUUCUGCCACUGUUGUUUCACAGUGAUGAACUAGGAG